AUAUCUCUCCGUACGGGAAGGAUGAGAAGCUUCGACUAAGGUUCGAUUCGAGCGCAGCGAGAACGCGUUGCCGCAGGCAACGACCCGAAGGGCGAAGCGCGCAUCGACUUCGAAGGUUCGAAUCCUUCCCCCACCACCA
rnacentral:sRNA from 1 species